rnacentral:rRNA from 1 species
UCAAGUUAUUAAGGGUGCAGGGCGGAUGCCUUGGCACUAGGAGCCGAUGAAGGACGUGAUAAGCUGCGAUAAGCUUCGGGGAGUUGCACGUAAACUUUGAUCCGAAGAUUUCCGAAUGAGGAAACUCACUUAGAGUAAUGUCUAAGUAUCAUUAAGUGAAUACAUAGCUUAAUGAGGGGAACUCAGGGAACUGAAACAUCUAAGUACCUGAAGGAAGAGAAAGAAAUUCGAUUCCGUAAGUAGCGGCGAGCGAACGCGGAUUAGCCCAAACCAAUAAAGUUUUCUUUGUUGGGGUUGCGGACAUAUCAUAACGAAGAGGUAUCGUAAUUGAAGAGGUUUGGAAAGACCCACCACAGAAGGUAAUAGUCCUGUAUGUUAAACGAGAAGACUUUAGAUAUGAUCCAGAGUACCACGGGACACGUGAAACCCUGUGGGAAGCAGGAGGGACCACCCUCCAAGGCUAAAUACUACCUAGUGACCGAUAGCGUAUAGUACCGUGAGGGAAAGGUGAAAAGAACCCCGGGAGGGGAGUGAAAUAGAACCUGAAACCCUGCACUUACAAGCUGUGGAAGCACAUUUCUUGUGUGACCGCGUACUUUUUGUAGAACGGGCCAACGAGUUACGUUAAGUAGCAAGGUUAAGCACUUAAGGUGCGGAGCCGUAGCGAAAGCGAGUUUUAACUGAGCGUUCAGUUACUUGACGUAGACCCGAAACCGGGCGACCUACCCAUGAGCAGGAUGAAGCGAAAGUAAAAUUUCGUGGAGGUCCGAACCCACGAGCGUUGAAAAGCUCGGGGAUGACUUGUGGGUAGCGGUGAAAUUCCAAUCGAGCCCGGAGAUAGCUGGUUCUCCCCGAAAUAGCUUUAGGGCUAGCCUCAAGGUGAGAGAUACGGAGGUAGAGCACUGAAUGUCCUAGGGGGUAUUGCACCUACCGAAGACUAUCAAACUCCGAAUGCCGUCAUCUUAUACUUGGGAGUCAGACUGUGGGUGAUAAGAUUCAUAGUCGAAAGGGCAACAGCCCAGAUCGUCAGCUAAGGUCCCUAAAUGUAAGUUAAGUGGUAAAGGAUGUGGGAUUGCACAGACAACCAGGAUGUUGGCUUAGAAGCAGCCACUCAUUCAAAGAGUGCGUAAUAGCUCACUGGUCGAGUGAUCCUGCGCCGAAGAUUUCCGGGGCUAAAACUUACUACCGAAGCUACGGCAUCAGUAAUGAUGGGUAGGGGAGCUUCCCAUACGGGUUGAAGCAUGACCGUAAGGACAUGUGGACAGUAUGGGAGUGAGAAUGUUGGCAUGAGUAGCGAGAUGUGGGUGAGAAUCCCACAGGCCGUAAACCCAAGGUUUCCAGGGGAAGGUUCGUCCGCCCUGGGUUAGUCGGGACCUAAGCUGAGGCCGAAAGGCGUAGGUGAUGGACAACAGGUUGAUAUUCCUGUACUACCGAUAACCGUUUGAGAGAAGGGAUGACACAGUAGGAUAAGCUAAGCACACUGUUGGUUAUGUGUGCCCAAGCAUUGAGGCAGUCAAAGUAGGCAAAUCCGCUUUGAUAAUGCUGGGAUGUGAUGGGGAGCGAAAUUUAGUAGCGAAGUAGCUGAUUUCACACUGUCAAGAAAAGUCUCUAUCGAGGUUAAAGGUACCCGUACCGCAAACCGACACAGGUGGGUGAGGAGAGUAUCCUAAGGCCAGCGAGAGAACUGUUGUUAAGGAACUCGGCAAAAUGACCCCGUAACUUAGGGAUAAGGGGUGCCACCAUCAGGUGGCCGCAGAGAAUAGGCCCAAGCGACUGUUUACCAAAAACAUAGGUUUCUGCUAAGUCGCAAGACGAUGUAUAGGAGCUGACGCCUGCCCGGUGCUGGAAGGUUAAGGGGAUCUGUUAGAGCAAUCGAAGCAGUGAACUUAAGCCCCAGUAAACGGCGGCCGUAACUAUAACGGUCCUAAGGUAGCGAAAUUCCUUGUCGGGUAAGUUCCGACCCGCACGAAAGGCGUAACGAUUUGGGCACUGUCUCAACAACAGACUCGGUGAAAUUGUAAUUCCGGUGAAGAUGCCGGAUACCUGCGACAGGACGGAAAGACCCCAUGGAGCUUUACUGUAGCUUGACAUUGGGUCUUGGUACUACAUGUACAGGAUAGGUGGGAGGCUUUGAAACCAGGACGCCAGUUUUGGCGGAGCCAUCCUUGGGAUACCACCCUUGUAGUACUGGGACUCUAACCAUAGGCCAUGAAUCUGGUCUUGGGACACUGUCAGGUGGGCAGUUUGACUGGGGCGGUCGCCUCCCAAAAGGUAACGGAGGCGCUCAAAGGUUCUCUCAGUACGGUCGGAAAUCGUACGUAGAGUGUAAAGGCAAAAGAGAGCUUGAUUGCAAGACAUACAGGUCGAGCAAGGAUGAAAAUCGGACUUAGUGAUCCGGUGGUUCUGCGUGGAAGGGCCAUCGCUCAACGGAUAAAAGCUACCCUGGGGAUAACAGGCUUAUCUCCCCCAAGAGUCCACAUCGACGGGGAGGUUUGGCACCUCGAUGUCGGCUCAUCACAUCCUGGGGCUGUAGUAGGUCCCAAGGGUUGGGCUGUUCGCCCAUUAAAGUGGUACGCGAGCUGGGUUCAGAACGUCGUGAGACAGUUCGGUCCCUAUCCGUCGCAGGCGUAGGAAAUUUGAGAAGACCUGUCCUUAGUACGAGAGGACCGGGAUGGACGUACCUCUGGUGUACCAGUUGUCCUGCCAAGGGCAUGGCUGGGUAGCUAUGUACGGAAUGGAUAAGCGCUGAAAGCAUCUAAGCGCGAAGCCAACUUCAAGAUAAGAUUUCCCACCGCAAGGGUAAGACCCCAGAAAGACUAUCUGGUUGAUAGGUCGA